CGCACCUUGCGCUCCUUGGUAUUCCUUGGAGCAUGCCUGUUUGAGUAUCAUGAAAUUCUCAAAGCAAAUCUUUUGUUAAUUCAAUUGAUCCUUUGCUUUGGACUUGGAGGUUCUUGCAGAUUUUUAUUUUCUGCUCCUCUUAAAUAAAUUAGCUGGAUCUCAGUAUAUACUCGGUUCCACUUGGCGUGAUAAGUAUCACUCGCUGAGGACACUUCUUGUAAUAAAGGGUGGCCGGGGAAUACAGAUGAACCGCUUCUAAUCGUCUAUUUAAUUUAGACAAACUUUAUAUUUCAGAUCUGAUCUCAAAUCAGGUAGGACUACCCGCUGAACUUAA
rnacentral:rRNA from 2 species